UGAACGCUAGCGGCAGGCUUAACACAUGCAAGUCGAGGGGUAGAAGGAGCUUGCUUCCUUGAGACCGGCGCACGGGUGCGUAACGCGUAUACAAUCUACCUUUACAGAGGGAUAGCCCAGAGAAAUUUGGAUUAAUACCUCAUAGUAUGUGAGAAUGGCAUCAUUUUCACAUUAAAGUCACAACGGCAAAAGAUGAGCAUGCGUCCCAUUAGCUAGUUGGUAAGGUAACGGCUUACCAAGGCUACGAUGGGUAGGGGUCCUGAGAGGGAGAUCCCCCACACUGGUACUGAGACACGGACCAGACUCCUACGGGAGGCAGCAGUGAGGAAUAUUGGACAAUGGGCGCAAGCCUGAUCCAGCCAUGCCGCGUGCAGGAUGACGGUCCUAUGGAUUGUAAACUGCUUUGUACAGGAAGAAACACUACUUCGUGAAGUAGCUUGACGGUACUGUAAGAAUAAGGAUCGGCUAACUCCGUG
rnacentral:rRNA from 1 species